CUAAAGGGAUUACGGGUUUCGGCC
rnacentral:siRNA from 1 species